UAGAUGGAUCCAAAGUAUCUUCUGCCCACUGAUUAAAUUUGAAUGGCCGCAGUACUCUGACUGUGCUAAGGUAGCGUGAUUCUUGUUUUCUUAAUUAGAAAUCUGUUCAAAGAAUGAUAUGGAGAGAAUCUAUUGUUUUCAUAUUGAGUGAAUUUAAAAUGUUAGUGAAAAUUCUGACGUGUCCUUAAAAGACGAGAAGACCCCAUAAAACUUAAUUUGAUCUAAUAAUCCUUUGGUUUAAAAUUUAAAUGGGGACUUUAGAGUAUACUAAUAACUUAAAGACCUAUAUUUUUAUUCUUUGAGAAGCUACUUUGGGGAUAACAGGGUAAAAUAUUUGGAGAGU
rnacentral:rRNA from 1 species